UACGUAGGUGGCAAGCGUUGUCCGGAUUUACUGGGCGUAAAGAGCGCGCAGGCGGUCGUUCAAGUCGCGUGUGAAAGCCCCCGGCUCAACUGGGGAGGGUCACGCGAUACUGAUCGACUCGAAGGCAGGAGAGGGUAGUGGAAUUCCCGGUGUAGUGGUGAAAUGCGUAGAUAUCUGGAGGAACACCGGUGGCGAAGGCGGCAUUCUGGACCGACAUUGACGCUGAGGCGCGAAAGCCAGGGGAGCAAACGGG
rnacentral:rRNA from 1 species